rnacentral:rRNA from 1 species
CAGCCGCCGCGGUAAUACGAAGGGGGCUAGCGUUGUUCGGAUUUACUGGGCGUAAAGCGCACGUAGGCGGACUUUUAAGUCAGGGGUGAAAUCCCGGGGCUCAACCCCGGAACUGCCUUUGAUACUGGGAGUCUUGAGUUCGAGAGAGGUGAGUGGAAUUGCGGGUGUAGGGGUGAAAUUCGUAGAUAUUCGCAGGAACACCAGUGGCGAAGGCGGCUCACUGGCUCGAUACUGACGCUGAGGUGCGAAAGCGUGGGGAGCAAACAGGAUUAGAUACCCCGGUAGUCCCUGUCUCUUAUAC